GCUACAACCUAGUGGGAAAAUCUGAAGGCAUGAAACUAGUUCAAGGUGUAUAGCUUUUCAGGGAGGGCAGCUGUUCAAGGUGAGAUACAGAGCAGUUCAAGGCGAAGUGAGGGUCUGGAUGGCAGGCAGUUUCAAAGUGGGCUGCAUGUGGCAGAGAGAUGGAGUUGAGCUGAAUCCCCUGGGGACAAAGUCUAGUGCUGAUCUCCUGUUGGCCUCCUGGCCUCCUGGUCUGAGAAGAUGAUGGUCUGAUGGGACAAUGACUCCAUGUGUGCCCCCGCACCCCGGUCUUUCUCCUUUUAUGUCUUUUAGGUGAAGAGUUACAUCAUAUGGUGGUUUGUUGUGUUUGAUCAUCUCACCAGUCUGGUUUCUCUGAUCUGGUUUGAUAUGCCCAUGCAUCCAUGGGCUUCUGAGUUAAUUUGGUAAGUUCACAAGUGACCAUUUUUUUUAUCAGCAUGAUUGAUUUCUCAGUUUGAGCCUUAUGAUUGUGCUGUGCAGCUGGGGGUUAUUCUUUCUGAUGAGUUCUGUGUGUCC
rnacentral:lncRNA from 1 species